UGGUCUUGCGUGCGUCUCAAGUGGAAAAUUUCAGCUGAACUGAUUUGAGGUUGGCGGGGUGAAGCGAGGGAAUUUUCUGGGAGGAAGGUGUCAGACCGCGGCGCUGGAGCCCAUCGCUUCUGCUGAACACAGCCUGCUGCUGCCCAGCACGUCCAUUCGCCAUCGCUGCGUCCAUCUAACUGGCCACAGCAACCGAUGCACGAGUGGCCUCAGGCUGUACUGCUGCUGCCGAGAUCUGAAGCAUCAGCUCCCCUCUGCUGCCACCAUUUUAACAGCAGCUGCUGCCUAAGGCAAGGCCCAAGAGCACCACCACACCAGAGACCUAAGGUGUGGUCCCCUGCUGUCUUUGUGGGAGCUAAGAUGAUCACCGGGAUCAGGCUAGACCAGAGCACAGCACCUACCCAGUAUUCAGGGACUAAAAGCAGCCUUUCCUCCACCCCAAGGGGUA